rnacentral:lncRNA from 1 species
NGCUUCUUCUCAUUUUCUUUCUCCAAAAUCUCAGAACCACAAACUCUUGACUACUGAAUGGAAAAGUCAUGAUCGUCAGGAUAACGGCUAGAUUAUCCGUCCGAUUUGCCGGAGCUCUGCCUCAAGAUUUGCAUCUAACAUAUAUAUAAUGAUAAUCGGUAUAAAUGAGGUGCCGUGACGGUGAUUGAGAUGGUGAUGAUGCUGUGGUGUUAUGAUGGUGGUGGCAAAGACUGAGGCGAUAAGAUUCUGGUAGCAUAGGUGUGGUAGCUUGUAAUGCUAAUGAUAUAUACAAUGAUGUAUUGAUAGGUUUUAGUGAUUAAUGUCGUAUAAAUUGGUGAUUUUUGCAGCAUAUAUUAGUGAUGUUUGCAAUAUGAUAUAAUGAUUGGUGGCUGAAUCUGGGAAUUAUAUCUCAGAGUUAAUGGUGGUAAUCGAAAAUCAUGACAGUGGUUGAAGGAAGGCUGAUUUGGGGCUGGGUGGAGAUGGAGCAAUAUUCUGUGAUUGUACAUUUGUGAAGAUGAACAGUACAGAGGAAAUGUGN